UACAUGCAAGUCGAACGGUAACAGGAAGCAGCUUGCUGCUUCGCUGACGAGUGGCGGACGGGUGAGUAAUGUCUGGGAAACUGCCUGAUGGAGGGGGAUAACUACUGGAAACGGUAGCUAAUACCGCAUAACGUCGCAAGACCAAAGAGGGGGACCUUCGGGCCUCUUGCCAUCGGAUGUGCCCAGAUGGGAUUAGCUAGUAGGUGGGGUAACGGCUCACCUAGGCGACGAUCCCUAGCUGGUCUGAGAGGAUGACCAGCCACACUGGAACUGAGACACGGUCCAGACUCCUACGGGAGGCAGCAGUGGGGAAUAUUGCACAAUGGGCGCAAGCCUGAUGCAGCCAUGCCGCGUGUAUGAAGAAGGCCUUCGGGUUGUAAAGUACUUUCAGCGGGGAGGAAGGCGAUAAGGUUAAUAACCUUGUCGAUGACGUACCCGCAGAAGAAGCAC
rnacentral:rRNA from 1 species